ACUAAAUACUUUAUUUAUAAUAAGUAAACAAAUAAUAAAAUCUCCUUUCAGUAUUGAUGUUCGUAAAUUACUUGCUUUUGAUGAUGUUUCAGUGUCAUUCCACUUCGAAAUUAUAAAUAACGAUUCAAUUAGGUACACAAAAAGCUCAAGAAAAUCAUUGACAGCAUAAAAACGUUCAACUCAUUUAGUCGCACAUAAUUGUUUUAAUGAUUUUUUAGUUAUACAUUUUUGACUUUCUUCGAUUUGACUUUUCAACACAUAUUUUCGCUAAGAUGAAUAAAAAAUAGCAAGGUUUAAAACAUGAACAGCACAAUGAACAAACGUCGCAAGCGGAUAACUUUGGUGAAUAAAAGAUUGAGCUCCGUUAAAUUGACCAGAUAUAGAAGCACAUCCAUUGUAACACUGUCCUCUAAGUAGUAUCUGUUGUAGGCACAAACUGAAGAAUUCUUCCUUGAUAAUCAUAUUUUCAACAUCUAAAUAUCGAACACACAUGGUUACUUGUUCGCUUCCACCAAUGUCGGCCGUUUCAUUAGCAAGUAUUUUGAAACAUCUUUGGGCAUUUAUGUUUGUUACGAUUUUAUUUAAAAUAAUUAUAUUACAGUAUUCAAUUAUUUCAUUUUGAAGUGUUUCACUUGUAUAUUUUAUUGUUUCUUCAGCUUCCAAAAAUGAUUUUAUACGGUCAUCUCCUUGGGCACUGUAUCUUAAUAUUUCACUAAAAUUUCCUUGAUUUUCUUGGAUAAUUUGUCAUUUUCAUUGAAGUUACAAAGAUAGUCAUUAUUGUCAAAAAAAAA